CCUACGGGAGGCUGCAGUGGGGAAUAUUGGACAAUGGGGGCAACCCAGAUCCAGCCAUGUCGCGUGUGUGAAGAAGGCCCUCGGGUUGUAAAGCACUUUCAGUGAGGAAGAACGCCUGGUGGUUAAUACCCAUCAGGAAAGACAUCACUCACAGAAGAAGCACCGGCUAACUCCGUGCCAGCAGCCGCGGUAAUACGGAGGGUGCGAGCGUUAAUCGGAAUUACUGGGCGUAAAGCGCGCGUAGGUGGCUUGAUAAGCCGGUUGUGAAAGCCCCGGGCUCAACCUGGGAACGGCAUCCGGAACUGUCAAGCUAGAGUGCAGGAGAGGAAGGUAGAAUUCCCGGUGUAGCGGUGAAAUGCGUAGAGAUCGGGAGGAAUACCAGUGGCGAAGGCGGCCUUCUGGACUGACACUGACACUGAGGUGCGAAAGCGUGGGUAGCAAACAGGAUUAGAUACCCCAGUAGUC
rnacentral:rRNA from 1 species